GCUGGCUUAAAACCAGUGAGAUCAGCAUAAAUGCUGGAGUUUGCCUCCCGCCCUUGCAGUACUAGCAGUACUAGCUGUAAGCACGGGGACCUGAGUCACACACAGCUGUUCUCACGGCACAGAACUUUGAACAGAAGCAGCCACUGGCAGCCAGUUCCUCCGCCGCCGUCCCCUUCUCCGAGCACUGGGCACGUGCUCCAAGGUGAAACUUGCUCUACUUAUGUUAAACUGAUAGCAUGAAUAGCAAAGUCUUUUCCCUUUUGGUUUAAAUGAAUCCUUGCCACUUAAGUUCAUGUUUAUUUUUAUAGUAUGGUCUCUAUGUCGUUUAUUGCUCCCAAAGGGACUCCAAAUACCAUGAUGGUUAUGAGUGAACCUGGGAAUAUACUUCUGAAUUACUUGUGAUUUAUUCUGCUUCUGAUGCACAUAAUAAUGCAGCUCUUCCAAAGCCUGUUCAAGGCUUUUAAUUAUUAAUUUCUGUACUUUGUGUGGCACCAUGUGACAGUUAUUGCUGCUAUGGGUGGGAAUUACUGUGCCUGUGCUUGCUGGUAACAGCACCAUCAUUGGGAAUUUUACGUUCCAGGCUGAACACUGAAUAGCUUCGGGAUGGCUUGAACUUGUCCUCAUUGAUGACAUAAGUGUCAUUUAAAUACAGGCCCUCUGCAGCACCAACGCACCAAAGAGAGCAGGGCUGAAAGGGAGGGAAGAGGCCAAAAGGAGUGGUGAAGACCUGCAGUGGGAAGCAGGGCUGUGCAAACCAACCUGCAGCUCAGGGAGCCAAUGCCACUAUUACUGGCACAGUUACUCCUAUUCAGAGACACCUGUUUAAUAACCACAGGCUAUAGCUCAGACCUGGCAGUGAAGAUGUCAAUCCUUGGUUCCAUAGACCUGAAGUUUUACAUGCUAGCAGAAACAUCAGAGGAUGCCCCCAGUUCCAAGCUGCUUCCUGCCUGUGCACACUCAGCAUCAUAAGGGGGUGCUUCCCUGUGUCCUGCUGUGCUCUCAUUUUACCUCAGCCUUCCCCACAAGGCCAAUUCCUGCUCUCACAGCCAACAGCUUUGUCCCUGCAGCAGGCUCAGACAGUGUGGGUGUGGAUGUGACUGUCCUUCCAUCACUGUGCACAGGGCCCAUUGCCCUUCACCCUCCCAGCUGCACCUGUCUGCAGGACGGAGACUCCUCACACACACGCUCCAGCUGCAGGGCUGCUCUGUUCUGCUGCGGGUCCUGGUGAACAGGUCCAGAUCCUCCUUGCUUGCAGCACACCUUCCUGGUUGCCUCAGACUUCAUUGCUACCUCUUUAUUAAAGAUAAGAAAAAAAGGACUCUGCAUAGAAUCACGUUCAGUUUCUGGUGCUAGCAGACAACCAACUCUAAUCCUAUGUAACUCUCUGAAAAAGAUGCAAAUUGGUGAGAGCUUGUUGAUUUCAUCAUGCCCGCUUCUCUGGUGGAGGAAAACUCCAGAACAUGUGAGGAUGUUUUACAUUGGCACCCCAGUAAACACCUGUGCUGCUGAGCAGCAAAGGGCACUUGUGCUCCUGCUGCAGUCUGCGCUGCACUCUGCGGUGAUCUGGGGCCCGGGGCUCCGCCCUGUGCACGGUGCGGCUCGGGGUCCUUGGUGUGGGGGGCUCUGUGCCCAGCACUGUGUGCCUGGGGGGCGGCAGGGCCGGGUCCGUGCGUGGGACCCUCAGCCCCCCCUGCGGGAGGAGCCUGCGCUCCCCUCCUCCUCUGUUACUGAAUCUGUUUAAACUAGGGGAGAGGGGUGAGGAAGUGAGACCUUUUGGAGAAGCCACAUAGAUGUUUGUUUUCCUUGGGGGUUUAUAUCAACAUUGGUCUUGACAUUUUGCCUCUUAUUAUGUGUGGCUCUUUAAAGGGUGAAAUAAUAUUUUCUUUUGCUUGAGAAAAGGACAAAGUUCAGACAAAGCGCUCAACCCAAAAUCAUUUUCUUCUUUCCCAACAGUUUACACAUUGUCUACACCGUGACUCAGUGCAGAGCCCCACUGCAAACAGAGGACCCACGUGGCUGCUCACUGCAGGGCUUCGUGCCCUCCUGCACCACGGGCAGCCUGGGCUGCUCCCAGCAUGGAGCUGUGGUACUUCUCAUCGUUUGCAAAAUACUCAAGUUUGCAAAUACAGCUUUUUCUCUGCCAACCUCAUCUCCAUUCACCUGGCUAAAGUCCAUUUCCAGAACAGGCUGCUCAGCACCAAAGCAUUUGGCAGCAUUGUUCUUUUCAGGAAUGCGAUUCACAGAGAGACCGCCUUCGAGCAAUACAAAGCCAUGAAAUACACAUCAACAAAACGUCGGCAAAAGCUUCACAGCGUCACACGACCGCUGCGACAAGGACUGCGCUGCGGCGGCGCUGCACUCUCCGGGUGCGACGCGGUGAAGCGCUGCGCCCCAACGGCUCCCGGGGACGCGACGCAUUAACGUUACCUCGAAACAGCUGUGCAAAUGCUGCAGGACACGCUGCGGACCUCUGACCCGCAGGUGAAGAGGGAAUGAAUGCAAAUCAUAAUUCCCCAAUUAUGUGGGGGCGAAAUGCGACACCGGAGUUAGUGCUCACCAAUCAGGUUAACAAGUUAGCUGAAACUUUAUCUUUCUGUACUUGAAUUACUGGGAAAUCGUCCUGCUGCCCCGAUGGCGGAGAUAUGGACCGCCACUGCCUUCGGGAGGGUGCAGGAGCUGAGCAUGAGGUGAGGGCACGGCCGUCCUCACCUGGGGCGGGCUGCAGCUCGGCACCGCGCAGUGUUCUGCUGGGCUGCACGUGUGGACCAACAUGGCCACGCACCUCUACCCGGCGCCACGUGGGCACAUUUGCUAGGCAUUCCCUACAGGCAGUGAGAGCAGCUUGUUGUAAAGCGAGGAGUGAGCGAGCAGCUUAAGGGCUCUCUGCACCUCUGGAGCUCCACGUGGCUGCGGGGGGACCUGGCAGCCGCUCUGGGAGCAGAACAUGAGAGCUUUGCCCAUGCGUCAGCACGAGGAGUGCAGGCAUGCACAGCAUCUGCAGCACCUGCUGCCCAGCGGGUGCCACGGCUACGGCCCCUUACAGCACAGCAGCACUCUGGGUGAAAGCGAUGCUUCUUCGAGCUCAAGGGCUCAUGGUAACUGUGUUGCCAGGGUAAGAUUUAUCCUCCCCUUUCAUUCCACCAGCUGUCAAACCCGUUUGAUUUUUCUCAAGCUUGAGUGUAGCAGGAAUUUAGCCAAUAAACACAACUGAUGAUGAUUUUCACUUCAGCUUCCAGCAUCUGCCAUUCAUAAUGAAGCCUGAUUAAAAAUGUAAGAGGAUUAUUUUUAGUUUUAGGAUGUGGCAGAGCUUCACUGUAAAACAUACCGCGAGGCGUGAAUAAUUAAUGACAAAAAAAUUCAAGGUAUAUCAAACACCAUAAAGCAAACAUGCCAGCCCUCCCAUGGCGCUGCCUGGGCUGCGCUGUGCCCACGUGCAGUGCUUGGUGCAGCCGAGUGCCUCCUCUGCAGCUCUCCCCUAUUCACUGCAGUUUCUGCUUUUUGUGUGCGUCUUUCUGGCACCAAGUUGCAAAUUUGUAACUCCCCGCCCUGUGAACAACUCUGCUUCAGCUUUAGAGCCUGGAAAUCCCUCUCAGUGCAACCGGGAAAUGCAAGAGCAGCUCUCCAGGUGGUGGCAGGAGCAGAUAGGAUUGGUGAAAUUCAGCUUUUCUUCCCUCUUAUGGUGCAGUGGUCCCGAGCUGAGGGCUUCCCCUGAGCGGGUCCUGAGCAGGGCCCAAUGCAGCGCAGCCCUCACCCUGCACUGCUCGUGGGGCUGCGGCCCCUGGCAAUGGGGCUCGCGGUGCUCUGACUGUCACCCUCAGCUCCUGAAGAGUUGGCAUACAGAAAGCAAACAGUGAGGAUUUGUUAUCUUAGGGAUUCACGUAAUUUUAGCUCUCUCAGAAGAAAUUGAAAUUGACAGGACUGAAUUGUCUGAUAAUAAAUUUAUCAAUAUGUUAAUGAUCA